GGCCACGGGGGGCAGCAGUGGGGAAUAUUGCACAAUGGGGGAAACCCUGAUGCAGCGACGCCGCGUGAAGGAAGAAGUAUUUCGGUAUGUAAACUUCUAUCAGCAGGGAAGAAAAUGACGGUACCUGACUAAGAAGCCCCGGCUAACUACGUGCCAGCAGCCGCGGUAAUACGUAGGGGGCAAGCGUUAUCCGGAUUUACUGGGUGUAAAGGGAGCGUAGACGGCAGAGAAAGUCUGAAGUGAAAGCCCGCGGCUCAACCGCGGAACUGCUUUGGAAACUUUUCGGCUAGAGUACCGGAGAGGUA
rnacentral:rRNA from 1 species